UACGAAGGGGGCUAGCGUUGCUCGGAAUCACUGGGCGUAAAGGGCGCGUAGGCGGCCUGAUCAGUCGGGGGUGAAAGCCUGUGGCUCAACCACAGAAUGGCCUUCGAUACUGUCGGGCUUGAGACCGGAAGAGGUAAGUGGAACUGCGAGUGUAGAGGUGAAAUUCGUAGAUAUUCGCAAGAACACCAGUGGCGAAGGCGGCAUCCUGGACCGAGAUUGACGCUGAUGCGCGAAAGCCAGGGGAGCAAACGGG
rnacentral:rRNA from 1 species